AGUUCACUGGACUGGCAGAGGGAGCUUGGGAGGGCUUUUGCUGAUGCCACUUGUUCUUCUUGCCAUAAAGAGUCUGUGUCCCUGGAGGCUGAGGAAGGAACCAGAAGUUGCACUUUCCAACAUGGAUCGCCUGCUAAUUUUCCAAGGCAGCUCAGCCCCUGCCAGCGUCCCCUCCCUCCUUUGGGCUGAGGGCCCAGGAACCCAGCCUCAAAGUUCAGCUUGCUUCCUCCAGCACGCACAUUUGGAAAUUGAAAUUUCCCACAUUUUCACCACACAAAAGCCAGGUUGUAUUUUUGUUCUCUUCAAAAUAUGCCAAAGGAAUUUUUCCUACCCCUUGAACUUUCUCCAAAAAUAAGUAGAAAAAGUCAAGACCAUUUUGCCCUGUAAGCUGAGAAUAGAAAAAUCAACAUGCAGGGUGCCAUUUCCAGGAUGUUACGAAACAGCGAACAUGUGAAUCCGUCUCAACACCAUUUGGCAACUUUGGGGAUACAGUAGAUGAUAUUUCUCACCCACAAACUCCUCACUGAGUUUAUAUUAACAUUUUGCUUUUUUUUUUUAAAAAAAAAGAAAAAAGAUUCUGAAAAAGGUAAGAAGCCUUGAUAAAUUACCACCACCUGGAUUAAAAUUCAGAGUCAGCACACUGACCACCAGCAAAUAAAACAUGAAACUAUACAGAUAACUUAGUAAAACAAAAAACGAUAGUGGCCCAAGAUAAAUUAAACUU
rnacentral:lncRNA from 1 species